AUCCGGAAUCAUUGGGCGUAAAGCGCCUGUAGGUUGUUUAAUAAGUCUGUUGUUAAAGACUAGGGCUCAACCCUAGAAAAGCAAUGGAAACUAUUAGACUAGAGUAUGGGAGGGGUAGAGGGAAUUUCUAGGGUAGCGGUGAAAUGGGUAGAUCUUAGAAAGAACACCGGUGGCGAAAGCGCUCUACUGGACCAUUACUGACACUGAGAGGGGAAAGCUAGGGGAGCGAAAGGGAUUAGAUACCCCUGUAGUCCUAGCCGUAAACGAUGGAUACUAGAUGUUGUGCAAUUUGGACAGUAUCGUAGCUAACGCGUUAAGUAUCCCGCCUGGGGAGUACGCUCGCAAGGGUGAAACUCAAAGGAAUUGACGGGGGCCUUCACAAGCGGGGGAGCAUGUGGUUUAAUUCGAUGGAGCGCGAAGAACCUUACCAGGGCUUGACAUACUACAGAUUCUUUAGAGAUAGAGAAGUGCCUUCGGGAAUGUAGAUACAGGUGGUGCAUGGCUGUCGUCAGCUCGUGUCGUGAGAUGUUGGGUUAAGUCCCCAACGAGCGCAACCCUUAUUUUUAGUUACCAAUUCGUUGGGUUCUCUAGAAAGACUGCCGGUGACAAACCGGAGGAAGGUGAGGAUGACGUCAAG
rnacentral:rRNA from 1 species